UACAGAGGGUGCAAGCGUUGUUCGGAAUUAUUGGGCGUAAAGGGAGUGUAGGCGGCUAGGAAAGUCUUCUGUGAAAUCUACGGGCUCAGCCUGUAACGUGCAGAGGAAACUAUCUGGCUAGAGUGUCGGAGAGGAUAGGGGAAUACCCAGUGUAGAGGUGAAAUUCGUAGAGAUUGGGUGGAAACACCAGUGGCGAAGGCGCCUGUCUGGCUGACAACUGACGCUGAGGCACGAAAAGCGUGGGGAGCAAACAGG
rnacentral:rRNA from 1 species